UACAGAGGCCCCGAGCGUUAGGCGGAAUCACUGGGCUUAAAGCGUGUGUAGGCGGGCCCGUAAGUACCUUGUGAAAUCCCACGGCUUAACUGUGGAACGGCUGGGCAUACUGGCGGUCUUGAGCCAUCUAGGGGCGACUGGAACAAACGGUGGAGCGGUGAAAUGCGUAGAUAUCGUUUGGAACGCCAAUGGUGAAAACAGGUCGCUGGGGAUGAGCUGACGCUGAGACACGAAAGCCAGGGGAGCAAACGGG
rnacentral:rRNA from 1 species